rnacentral:rRNA from 1 species
AGCGAACGCUGGCGGCAGGCCUAACACAUGCAAGUCGAACGAAGCCUUCGGGCUUAGUGGCGGACGGGUGAGUAACACGUGGGAACGUACCUUUUGGUUCGGAACAACUUAGGGAAACUUGAGCUAAUACCGGAUGAGCCCUUCGGGGGAAAGAUUUAUCGCCAUUAGAGCGGCCCGCGUUAGAUUAGCUAGUUGGUGAGGUAAAGGCUCACCAAGGCUACGAUCUAUAGCUGGUCUGAGAGGAUGAUCAGCCACACUGGGACUGAGACACGGCCCAGACUCCUACGGGAGGCAGCAGUGGGGAAUCUUGCGCAAUGGGCGAAAGCCUGACGCAGCCAUGCCGCGUGAAUGAUGAAGGUCUUAGGAUUGUAAAAUUCUUUUACCAGGGACGAUAAUGACGGUACCUGGAGAAAAAGCCCCGGCUAACUUCGUGCCAGCAGCCGCGGUAACAC